GCACGCAAGACGUUUGGAUAUUUUGCUCGUUCAUUUCUCCAUCACAAGAACAGCUGACGAUUCAAGAUGUAUCUGUUGCUGAAUGUCAUAGUUGCAUUUCAAUACGUGAACUCAGUGACGGUCCGACAGACCCCUUCAGCUGUCUCCAAAUCUAUGAAAGAGAGUGUGGAGUUGAAAUGCACGGUGGAGGGAAAGAAUACAGGUGCUAUGUACUGGUACAGACAAAACCCGGGGAAGGAACUACAACUGAUGUUUUAUUCUCCAGUUGCGCCAACUGUGAAUAGAGAAGAGGCGGAGGAUGGUUUCACCGCCAAGCGACCGAGUGGCUCCUACUUUAACCUGGAGUCCUCCAGCCUGAAGGCAGAUGACUCGGCCGUGUAUUAUUGCGCCUGGAGUAUUCACAGUGAGACAGAGAGAGGGGGCAGCUCAACAAAAAUCCCAAAGGUAGUAGUAAACAACAUGGAAUUAUAG